rnacentral:rRNA from 1 species
UGCAGAAUCCCGUGAACCAUCGAGUUUUUGAACGCAAGUUGCGCCCGAAGCCAUUAUGCUGAGGGCACGUCUGCCUGGGCGUC